UGACUCUGUCAGCACUGCUGUAUAUGUAGAAUUGAGGGCAACUUGGUUGCCGGGAUGUCAAUAGAUCUAGAACGUCAUAAAGCCUCCUGCAAUUUCAUCCAACCAUCAAUGCUGAUAAACAUUUGCAGAAAAGUUACUGCAGGCUUAGUUUCAACAGAAGUUUUGGCUUCUAUUGUCACAUCUCUAUCGUUUAAAGUCAUG